GAUCCUGGCUCAGGACGAACGCUGGCGGCGUGCUUAACACAUGCAAGUCGAACGGACGAAGCCCCUUCGGGGGCCGAGUUAGUGGCGGACGGGUGAGUAACGCGUGAGCAACCUGCCCAUAAGAGGGGGAUAACAUCGGGAAACCGAUGCUAAUACCGCAUAAGACCACGAUAGCACAUGCUAAUGAGGUCAAAGGAGCAAUCCGCUUAUGGAGGGGCUCGCGUCCCAUUAGGUAGAUGGUGAGGUAACCGG
rnacentral:rRNA from 1 species